rnacentral:rRNA from 1 species
AGGGGGGAAAGGGAGUUUUUUUUUUAGGGGUUUUUUUCCUGUCAGAUUGAACCGCUGGCGGCCAGGCCUAACCACAUGCAAAGUCGAAGCGGAAAACGAAGUUAUUCUGAACCUUCGGGGGAACCGAUAACCGGCGUCGAAGCGGCGGACCGGGUGAAAGUAAAUGCCCUAGGAAAAUUGCCCCUGAUGUGGGGGGAUAACCCAUUGGAAAACGAUGGCCUAAUACCCGCAUGAUGCCUACCGGGCCAAAAGAGGGGGGACCUUCGGGGCCUCUCCGCGUCAGGGAUAUGCCCUAGGUGGGAUUAGCCUAGUUGGUGAGGUAAGGGCUCACCAAGGCGACGAUCCCUAGCUGGUCUGAGAGGAUGAUCAGCCACACUGGAACUGAGACACGGUCCAGACUCCUACGGGAGGCAGCAGUGGGGAAUAUUGCACAAUGGGCGCAAGCCUGAUGCAGCCAUGCCGCGUGUGUGAAGAAGGCCUUCGGGUUGUAAAGCACUUUCAGUCGUGAGGAAGGUAGUGUAGUUAAUAGCUGCAUUAUUUGACGUUAGCGACAGAAGAAGCACCGGCUAACUCCGUGCCAGCAGCCGCGGUAAUACGGAGGGUGCGAGCGUUAAUCGGAAUUACUGGGCGUAAAGCGCAUGCAGGUGGUUUGUUAAGUCAGAUGUGAAAGCCCGGGGCUCAACCUCGGAAUUGCAUUUGAAACUGGCAGACUAGAGUACUGUAGAGGGGGGUAGAAUUUCAGGUGUAGCGGUGAAAUGCGUAGAGAAUCUGAAGGAAUACCGGUGGCGAAGGCGGCCCCCUGGACAGAAACUGACACUCAGAAUGCAUAAAAGCGG